GACGAACGCUGGCGGCGUGCUUAACACAUGCAAGUCGAACGGAAAGCCCCUGCUCUUGCUGGGUCCUCAACUGGCGAACGCGUGUGUAUCACGUGUGUAACCUCUCCUCCACACUCUGAUAUCUUCAUGGAACUCGGGCUCUUAUCCGAUAUGAGCUCCUGGUGCACGGUGUGGCUUGGUGAGUUUCGGCGGUUGGGGAUGGGCUCGCGGCUUAUCAGCUUGUUGGUGAGGUAUUGGCUUACCAAGGCUUUGACGGGUAGCCGGCCUGAGAGGGUGACCGGCCACAUUGGGACUGAGAUACGGCCCAGACUCCUACGGGAGGCAGCAGUGGGGAAUAUUGCACAAUGGGCGGAAGCCUGAUGCAGCAACGCCGCGUGAGGGAUGACGGCCUUCGGGUUGUAAACCGCUUUCGCCAGGGACGAAGCGUAAGUGACGGUAAUGGGUGAAGAAGCACCGGCUAACUACGUG
rnacentral:rRNA from 1 species